AACGGCCGCGGUAUCUUGACCGUGUGAAGGUAGCGUAAUCAUUUGUCUUGUAAAUGGAGACCUGUAUGAAUGGCACAACGAGGGCUUAACUGUCUCACUUUCUUAGUCAAUGAAAUUGAUCUUCCCGUGCAGAAGCGGGGAUAAAACCAUAAGACGAAAAGACCCUGUGGAGCUUUAGACAAAAUAACAGACCUCUCAACAAUAAUUUGCGGAACCUGAUUAUAUGUCUUCGGUUGGGGCGACCACGGAGAAAAAUAAAACCUCCACGCGGAAAACAUUAAGAUUUCUAAGAAAUAAGAGCCACAGCUCUAACUUCCAGAAUAUCUGUCCAAAUAGAUCCAGCCCAUUAAAGCUGAUCAUCGAACCAAGUUACCCCAGGGAUAACAGCGCAAUCCCCUUCCAGAGCCCAUAUCAACAAGGGGGUUUACGACCUCGAUGUUGGAUCAGGACAUCCUAAU
rnacentral:rRNA from 1 species